rnacentral:tmRNA from 1 species
GGGGCUGACCGGUUUCGACGCUGGUAACGGAAUCCAAGGUGCAUGCCGAGGUGUCAUGUCCUCGUAAAACCUAUGGCAACCAAGCUAGUUGCGAACGACUCCAACUACGCCCUCGCCGCCUAAUUAAGGCGAGCGUCUCGCUCCCUGGUUCCGAUGCCGGAGAGGUUGAGGCGUCGACUCACAUCGGAUCGUGACAACGCCCGCCCUUGGUCGCGUCGCUAAAACUUCAAGGGGAUAAGCGCAAGCGCUCCGUGCCGAUACGGGAACUUGCGUCGAAAAACAAGAAUCGGCUAAGCAUGUAGAUCCGAAGACGACGGAUCGGCGGACGCGGGUUCAAUUCCCGCCAGCUCCACCA